CCUUGCUGUGAAGUUUCCGUAUUUAGUUCAAGUGAAACUUAAAAAGGCCAACAAGCUAGGCGAGUAGAACAGCUGGGUUGGAGAGUAAUCAAAGAAGAUUAUGAGAAGCCAUUUUUAGCUGCAAACUUAUCAUUCAGGCCACUUCCAGCAAGUUAAUCAAAGCCUCUUUCAUGUCUCCCUGCUGCAUCUAUGUGGAAUCUCCAUCAUUAGUUAUGCCAUCAGUAAUGUAUGGAGAAGACUAUGUCCGUCUUGGUUUCCUUUUUGGAGAAAAAUCAAAAGUGGCUUAUAUAUUCGAUGUUUCACGCUUUCCUCCCUGCACUGAGUAUAUUAUAUCAAAAUCUGGUGGUAGACAACUAGAUCUGCUUAUCUUGGAUACAUCAUUUAAGACAUGAUCACUCAACACCACUUAUGUUUCCCAGGCCACAUGUAUGCUUACUUUGUUUUGUGUAGACACUAGAGACAAUCGAAUUUUCGUGUACUAAAAGAGGUCUUUUAGGAAGAAUGACUCACGAGUUUGAUCACCACAAGGACAACGAGUGUCUUGAAGAAUGGUCUAAUAGGUACAGAGCUUUAGAAACAGUCACAAACUGUCUUAAUAAACCAUACGCAGAGUGAUGUUCUUAUUUGUUUUCUGCAGAUAAUUUUGAGUAUCUUCGGAAUAGUUAACUAAAUUUGAACGACUUCUCUUGGUUUUGAUUUUCUUUGGCAGGAAGGAACGAACAGACUUGCAAUGGUCUGCUGGUAACCUUUCUACAUGAGACUACACUGCAGCAGUAGGGAAAAUCACAGAGGCUCAUUCAGAUUUUGUGAUGGGAUUCAUCUCGGUUAAUCAUGCGUCUUGGAAAUGGGAGAUGUGUAUCCGUCUAUGAUUCAUGCAACGCUUGGUGUUCAAGUGGUGAAAAAAUGGUGAUGCACUUGGUCAAAAAUACAACACUCCAGAGUCUCUCGCUCCUAGCCUUAACAUUCAUAGUUAGUACCUUGUGCGGUAUCUCAGGAAAGUAUCGGUUUUAUGUAUGCUUCUUGACCUUCAUGAUUUUUUUGAUUUGAGGAACCUUUCUUUUGCUUAGUGUUCCAUAUUUCGUAAAGACUAUCCCCAAAUGCUAAUACAUCAUAACACCACCUAGCACCGUGUGGAUCAAGACUUGCAUCAAAAAGCUACUUCAAUGAUUGAAUGGGAAUAAAAGAUUUUGAUCAGUUUGGCUUU